UACAGAGGGGGCAAGCGUUGUUCGGAAUUACUGGGCGUAAAGCGUGCGCAGGCGGCUUCGCAAGUCAGACGUGAAAUCCCCGGGCUUAACCUGGGAAUGGCGUUUGAAACUACGGAGCUGGAGUAUGGCAGAGGGGGGUGGAAUUCCACGUGUAGCGGUGAAAUGCGUAGAUAUGUGGAGGAACACCGAUGGCGAAGGCAGCCCCCUGGGCCAAUACUGACGCUCAUGCACGAAAGCGUGGGGAGCAAACAGG
rnacentral:rRNA from 1 species